GUUUUAUUCAAAUUUGAGUGAGUUAACAUACAGUGUUAUAUUAGUUUCAGGUGUACAAUACACCAAUUUAACAAUUCCAUGCAUCACCCAAUGCUCAUCAAGACAAGUGUACUCCUUAAUCCCCAUCUCCUAUCUUACCCAU